rnacentral:rRNA from 1 species
GACGAACGCUGGCGGCGUGCUUAACACAUGCAAGUCGAACGGAAAGGCCCUGCUUUUGUGGGGUGCUCGAGUGGCGAACGGGUGAGUAACACGUGAGUAACCUGCCCUUGACUUUGGGAUAACUUCAGGAAACUGGGGCUAAUACCGGAUAGGAGCUCCUGCUGCAUGGUGGGGGUUGGAAAGUUUCGGCGGUUGGGGAUGGACUCGCGGCUUAUCAGCUUGUUGGUGGGGUAGUGGCUUACCAAGGCUUAGACGGGUAGCCGGCCUGAGAGGGUGACCGGCGACAUGGGGACUACGAUACGGACCAGACGCCUACGGGGGACAGCAGGCGGGAGUAUGGCACAAUGGGCGGAAGCCUGAGGCAGAAACCCCGCGUUCGGGAUGACGGCCUUCGGGGUGUAAACCGCUUUCGCCUGUGACGAAGCGUGAGUGACGGUAAUGGGUAAAGAAGCACCGGCUAACUACGUG